rnacentral:lncRNA from 1 species
GCAGCUUUAUUUAAGAUCCUUCUAUGUCUGUUUUAAACAUUAACCCACUUGAGCAAAAGUGUGCCUGAGCAUGAGAAACCUUAUCUUAAUACCUGAAUCCUUUUCAAACUCCUAACUUAUUGUACCAAACCUCUUUAACAUUAAUGUGAUGUUCAGAGUCUCAUCAGAAUUCUUUUGAGUUGCCCCCAUUCUGUGGGAAUUAUCAUUAAAAAAAGUACACCUUUAGGAGUUAAAACUUUCCAUGUAAUAAGAUCUUGGUUUCGGGUGAAAAGGGUGUUUUGUUUGUGUGUGGAAGAGUGUUAAUAAUUUCCUGGAUCUGAGAAUGUGGAUUCUUUUCUAAACCAGUAGGUGAUGUAGAAUUUCAAGUUUUAAAUCACAAUGUGAAAAGUGCGUAAUUUUUUUGUUUUUAGGGACUGACCAUGCGUUUCAACAUACCAACUGGGACCAAUUUACCCCCUGUCAGUUUCAACUCUCAAACUCCUUAUAUUCCUUUCAAUUUGGGAGCCCUGUCAGCAAUGAGUAAUCAACAGCUGGAGGACCUCAUUAAUCAAGGAAGAGAAAAAGUUGUAGAAGCAACAAACAGUGUGACAGCAGUGAGGAUUCAACCUCUUGAAGAUAUAAUUUCAGCUGUAUGGAAGGAGAACAUGAAUCUCUCAGAGGCCCAAGUACAGGCGUUAGCAUUAAGUAGACAAGCCAGCCAGGAGCUUGAUGUUAAACGAAGAGAAGCAAUCUACAAUGAUGUAUUGACAAAACAACAGAUGCUAAUCAGCUGUGUUCAGCGAAUACUUAUGAACAGAAGGCUCCAGCAGCAGUACAAUCAGCAGCAACAGCAACAAAUGACUUAUCAACAAGCAACACUGGGUCACCUCAUGAUGCCAAAGCCUCCAAAUUUGAUCAUGAAUCCUUCUAACUACCAGCAGAUUGAUAUGAGAGGAAUGUAUCAGCCAGUGGCUGGUGGUAUGCAGCCACCACCAUUACAGCGUGCACCACCCCCAAUGAGAAGCAAAAAUCCAGGACCUUCCCAAGGGAAAUCAAUGUGA